AUUGAACGCUGGCGGCAUGCUUUACACAUGCAAGUCGAACGGCAGCGCGGGCUUCGGCCUGGCGGCGAGUGGCGAACGGGUGAGUAAUGCAUCGGAACGUGCCCAGUAGUGGGGGAUAGCCCGGCGAAAGCCGGAUUAAUACCGCAUACGACCUGAGGGUGAAAGCGGGGGACCGAAAGGCCUCGCGCUAUUGGAGCGGCCGAUGUCGGAUUAGCUAGUUGGUGGGGUAAAGGCUUACCAAGGCGACGACCCGUAGCUGGUCUGAGAGGACGUCCAGCCACACUGGGACUGAGACACGGCCCAGACUCCUACGGGAGGCAGCAGUGGGGAAUUUUGGACAAUGGGGGCAACCCUGAUCCAGCCAUGCCGCGUGCGGGAAGAAGGCCUUCGGGUUGUAAACCGCUUUUGUUCGGGAAGAAAUCCUCUGGGCUAAUACCCCGGGGGGAUGACGGUACCGGAAGAAUAAGCACCGGCUAACUACGUG
rnacentral:rRNA from 1 species